GUAAAGAGCUCGUAGGUGGUUUGUCGCGUUGUUCGUGAAAUCUCACGGCUUAACUGUGAGCGUGCGGGCGAUACGGGCAGACUUGAGUACUGCAGGGGAGACUGGAAUUCCUGGUGUAGCGGUGGAAUGCGCAGAUAUCAGGAGGAACACCGGUGGCGAAGGCGGGUCUCUGGGCAGUAACUGACGCUGAGGAGCGAAAGCGUGGGGAGCGAACAGGAUUAGAUACCCUGGUAGUCCACGCCGUAAACGGUGGGUACUAGGUGUGGGUUUCCUUCCUUGGGAUCCGUGCCGUAGCUAACGCAUUAAGUACCCCGCCUGGGGAGUACGGCCGCAAGGUUAAAACUCAAAGAAAUUGACGGGGGCCCGCACAAGCGGCGGAGCAUGUGGAUUAAUUCGAUGCAACGCGAAGAACCUUACCUGGGUUUGACAUGCACAGGACGCCGGCAGAGAUGUCGGUUCCCUUGUGGCCUGUGUGCAGGUGGUGCAUGGCUGUCGUCAGCUCGUGUCGUGAGAUGUUGGGUUAAGUCCCGCAACGAGCGCAACCCUUGUCUCAUGUUGCCAGCGGGUAAUGCCGGGGACUCGUGAGAGACUGCCGGGGUCAACUCGGAGGAAGGUGGGGAUGACGUCAAGUCAUCAUGCCCCUUAUGUCCAGGGCUUCACACAUGCUACAAUGGCCGGUACAAAGGGCUGCGAUGCCGCGAGGUUAAGCGAAUCCUUUUAAAGCCGGUCUCAGUUCGGAUCGGGGUCUGCAACUCGACCCCCGUGAAGUCGGAGUCGCUAGUAAUCG
rnacentral:rRNA from 1 species